UUCAUGAUUAUGUGUCACAGUAUAUUUAAUGUAUGGCCCAAGAAAACUCUUCUUCUUCCAGUGUGGCCCAGAGACACCAAAGGGUUGGAUACCCCUGGACCUUUUAGGACAUGCUGACUGCUAUACACAGUCUACUGUAACUAUCAACUCCAGAGCUCAGAAAGUCUUGUUUCUCACUUACGUGAUAGUCCAGUGAAGGUUAGGAGGGUAUAGUUAUAGUUAGACAGACUCUGCCUAGUCCUUAAUUCAGGGAUGUAGAUUUCUCCCAUCCAGUGACCUCCAGGACUCCUGAAUCUUCUGGACAAUAUGUGUCUGAUUGGCAAGAGGGAGAGGAAGUGAGGGCAAUGUGAGGGAGAAGAAAAGACAGAAAAGGCAUAAAUGUUCUGAACUGCAUCAUCCCAGAGAGGACACACAUCACUUCCUCUCUUAUAUUCCAGUGGCAAAAAUUCAUGGUCCAAUCUAUAUUCAAGUUCAGAUGUGUGUAGUCCCGGUGAGUGGCAAUAAAGGGUGGACAAAUAUUGACGAGCAUCAGCCAUCUUUACCACAAUCAUCCAAUCAACAUACUAAGCAUCCAGGACCUAAAAUAUACAACCUGCUUGACUAUUUCAUCUCAAUUUCAUCUCUUUGCUCCAUGUGAAGAUACAGAAUAAUGCAUUUUUAUCUUAAAAAGAGAAAUUCAACUGAUGAUACAUCUUUAGGGAAGAUAGCAUACCAAUCAUUUAGGCGUUCAGUUUUAAUGUUUUGCAAAAAACAAAAGACUUUGUAGAAACUAUACUUUUACUGUAAUAUAUCCUUGGUAUUUUUUAAUACCAAUGAAAGCUUGUGCAACUUUCCCUUGAAAUUCCUCCUUUUGGAGGGACUGUGAUUUAUUUUUUUAACACUUAGCUUAUUUUCUCUCAGUAGUUUAGAUGGAUAAACAGUUUAGACAAACAUGGAUUUAUUUUUAAAGAUUUAUGUAAGCAACAUCUUUUGGUAAAAUUUCUUGAGGUGUACUGGAACCAACCUGCUGAGGAGAACAUGGCUGGGAAACCAAAGAAAGAGGCUGACACUGCAGAAUUAAACAAAGUGCUCAUGAAGAGAA